GGACUACCCGGGUAUCUAAUCCCAUUCGCUACCCACGCUUUCGUGUUUCAGCGUCAAGAAUGCGCUAGUUUGCUGCCUUCGCUUUUGGUGUUCCCCAUAAUAUCAACGGAUUUCACCCCUACACUAUGAGUUCCGCAAACCCCUCGCAUCUUCUAGGUGCACCGUUUCUCCUGCAGGAUCCCGAUUGAGUCGGGAGAUUUUACAGGAGACUAAUGCAACCGCCUACACACCCUUUACGCCCAAUAAUUCCGGAUAACGCUCGGGGCACUCGUAUUACCGCGGCGGCUGGCAC
rnacentral:rRNA from 1 species